rnacentral:rRNA from 1 species
ACAACGAAGAGUUUGAUCCUGGCUCAGGAUGAACGCUAGCGACAGGCUUAACACAUGCAAGUCGAGGGGCAGCACAGGUAGCAAUACCGGGUGGCGACCGGCGCACGGGUGAGUAACGCGUAUGCAACUUGCCUAUCAGAGGGGGAUAACCCGGCGAAAGUCGGACUAAUACCGCAUGAAGCAGGGGCCCCGCAUGGGGAUAUUUGCUAAAGAUUCAUCGCUGAUAGAUAGGCAUGCGUUCCAUUAGGCAGUUGGCGGGGUAACGGCCCACCAAACCGACGAUGGAUAGGGGUUCUGAGAGGAAGGUCCCCCACAUUGGUACUGAGACACGGACCAAACUCCUACGGGAGGCAGCAGUGAGGAAUAUUGGUCAAUGGGCGUAAGCCUGAACCAGCCAAGUCGCGUGAGGGAUGAAGGUUCUAUGGAUCGUAAACCUCUUUUAUAAGGGAAUAAAGUGCGGGACGUGUCCCGUUUUGUAUGUACCUUAUGAAUAAGGAUCGGCUAACUCCGUGCCAGCAGCCGCGGUAAUACGGAGGAUCCGAGCGUUAUCCGGAUUUAUUGGGUUUAAAGGGUGCGUAGGCGGCCUUUUAAGUCAGCGGUGAAAGUCUGUGGCUCAACCAUAGAAUUGCCGUUGAAACUGGGAGGCUUGAGUAUGUUUGAGGCAGGCGGAAUGCGUGGUGUAGCGGUGAAAUGCUUAGAUAUCACGCAGAACCCCGAUUGCGAAGGCAGCCUGCCAAGCCAUUACUGACGCUGAUGCACGAAAGCGUGGGGAUCAAACAGGAUUAGAUACCCUGGUAGUCCACGCAGUAAACGAUGAUCACUAGCUGUUUGCGAUACACUGUAAGCGGCACAGCGAAAGCGUUAAGUGAUCCACCUGGGGAGUACGCCGGCAACGGUGAAACUCAAAGGAAUUGACGGGGGCCCGCACAAGCGGAGGAACAUGUGGUUUAAUUCGAUGAUACGCGAGGAACCUUACCCGGGUUUGAACGCAUUUUGACAGCUCUGGAAACAGAGCCUCUAGCAAUAGCGAUUUGCGAGGUGCUGCAUGGUUGUCGUCAGCUCGUGCCGUGAGGUGUCGGCUUAAGUGCCAUAACGAGCGCAACCCUUGCCACUAGUUACUAACAGGUAAAGCUGAGGACUCUGGUGGGACUGCCAGCGUAAGCUGCGAGGAAGGCGGGGAUGACGUCAAAUCAGCACGGCCCUUACAUCCGGGGCGACACACGUGUUACAAUGGCGUGGACAAAGGGAGGCCACCUGGCGACAGGGAGCGAAUCCCCAAACCACGUCUCAGUUCGGAUCGGAGUCUGCAACCCGACUCCGUGAAGCUGGAUUCGCUAGUAAUCGCGCAUCAGCCAUGGCGCGGUGAAUACGUUCCCGGGCCUUGUACACACCGCCCGUCAAGCCAUGGGAGCCGGGGGUACCUGAAGUCCGUAACCGCGAGGAUCGGCCUAGGGUAAAACUGGUGACUGGGGCUAAGUCGUAACAAGGUAGCCGUACCGGAAGGUGCGGCUGGAACACCUCCUUU